rnacentral:lncRNA from 1 species
AUGGUGAGAAUUGGGGCAUAUCCAAAAAAUAGGGGAUCCGCCCCUUUCUUCUAAUUGUCUCUGAUCAUUGGUCGAUCACCAAUGAUCAUGACCUUCGGUGAAGACAGGUAGGAAGAUGGAGGUCCAGACCUAUGGUUGAGUCACUGCAAACGAUGAUGUCGGUGGUUGAAAAUAAGAAAGAGGGGGCUCAGUCGAAUAGAGUAAAAUAGGGUUCUUAUUUCUUUAUGGGUUUUUUGGCAAAGCCGACAGUCAAUGAGGGUGCACGAUGCCAUGGGAAGGAGCGA